rnacentral:lncRNA from 1 species
CCAGAGUAUUUAAUUUAAUUUACAAUAACCAGUGGGCUCCCGAAUAACUAAAAGUAAAGAAGACUGUGAACCUACAGUUUGGAGGAUGCAAAUCCAAUGGUAGUCUCAAUGAAAUCAGCUAUCUACAGCCUAUUCUGAGCCUGAAAUGGGUGGAAAGGAGGGUGGUGAGAUUAUAUAAUUCCAGUGAGUAAACAAAUACCAUCUAAAAUAUCUAAAGCUGAGUAAAUGGAGACAGAUAAAAUAGUUUAACAUAUUGUAAUUCAUCACCUUUCAACAAGUUUCAACCAAAUAAAAUCAAUUCAUAUAAAUCGAGUAAUCAACAUGGCUUAUGAAUUUCUUAAAACUUUAGCUCGUGCCAAAAUCAUUCUCAUACCCAGUUAUCAGGGAUACCUUGAUCAAGGGCUAUCCCAACCGAGUUCGCCAAGGCUGUUAAAAAGUUAUGUACGCAUAAAUCAUGUUUUUAUUUUGAAAACAUAGCCGUUCCUUGGCAUUGGCUGAGUUCACCCUCACGUGGUGGUUUGGCAUGAAAUGAACUCUAAAAGUUAUACCUCGGGAGUUACCCUACUCACCUCUCAAACCGAGGUAAAAUAUAACGAGAUUCCGUACCCCUCUAAUAGGCUGGUCCACAAAAAACCCGCCCACUGCAGCAAGCUAAAUCCACCAUACAAUAAAAUUUGCAAUAGCAUAACAUGGCAAUUAUUUUAUUUUAUUUCACAACCUUUCAAGGCAAAUCAACAAGUUAUACAUUUCCAACACAUUUAUCAAAUCAACCAUUCAUGCCAAUAUUGCCAUAAGCCAAUCAAUUGGAAUCAUGAAUUCACAACACACAAAAACAGUCUCUAAUUACUCUAUUUUCAAACCAUCAUUCAAUUUUAAAACAAUUUUAUGAAAUCAUUUCAUUAAAUCACAUUUGGUUUAUAAAACCGAAAAAUUAAUCAUUUAAUUCAUUUUCCAUAAAUUUCACAAAAUCGAAUAAAACAUACUUUAGAUAAUUAAGAUGAUGAUAAGGUUACUCACUAUUUCGGGAGUCGAAUUUCAAGUACUCCGAUUGUUGAUCCUCGGGUACUAUCUCUUUACUUUUGCCAAAAUGCUCACCACCUAGACAUAAUGCACAAUAAGCCAUUUACUACAUUGUGCUAAAUUGUUAUAAAACCAAUUCAAGCUUUAUACUAAUGUAUGAAAUGGGAUCCAAAUUGUUCAGAUUAUUGUCUAAUACGAUGUUCUACACAAAUUCAAUUGUGUACCUAAAUUAAACGGUAUUGGUUUAAUUCGAUCUAUCACUCGAUUAAUUUUCCAAUACGUCCAAUUCAACUCCAAAUAAUUCCAUUUUUCUCCCAAUGCUCCAAAUCAUCAAACACAAAUUAAAUAACUUGAAAUAUGGCAAAAUCAUCCUCACAUUUUCUCUUGGAAAAUUCGGCCAUGGUGGGUGCCUCAACACUAUAAUUUUUCCUACUUGAUUCUCACACCAUAAAUCACUAAUUCCUAACCAAAUCACUUGAAAUAAAAUUAAAAUCAUUAUCAAUAUUCUACAUGGAGAAUUCGGCCAAUGAUGGGUGAUGGGAGAACAUGAAUUUUUCUUAUUGGCUUUUCAUGCUACACAUCACUAACUAACUAAAACACCAAAAUAUCUUAAAAUCUAACCAAAUCAAGCAUCAAAACCUCUCUCUAAGUGUUCAGCCAGCAAGAUACCCAUCAUGAAAUCAUGUGAUUCAACCAUGGAAAAUGCAAAAGAAUGUAUGGGAAAGGUAGAUCAUAAGCUAGAAUUAAAAAAUCUUACCUUUUGUCACUUGUUUCCUUGAAUUUUCACACUUUUCCCUUGAAUUUUUCCACCUAGGAUUUUUGUUCUUCUUUUCUUCCUUUGUUCUUGCUUUGGC